UACGAAGGGGGCUAGCGUUGCUCGGAAUCACUGGGCGUAAAGCACACGUAGGCGGACUCUUAAGUCAGGGGUGAAAUCCUGGAGCUCAACUCCAGAACUGCCUUUGAUACUGGGAGCCUUGAGUUCGGGAGAGGUGAGUGGAACUGCGAGUGUAGAGGUGAAAUUCGUAGAUAUUCGCAAGAACACCAGUGGCGAAGGCGGCUCACUGGCCCGAUACUGACGCUGAGGUGCGAAAGCGUGGGGAGCAAACAGG
rnacentral:rRNA from 1 species